CCUACGGGCGGCUGCAGUGGGGAAUCUUGCGCAAUGGCCGAAGGGCUGACGCAGCGACGCCGCGUGCGGGAGGAAGCCCUUCGGGGUGUAAACCGCUGUUAGGGGGGACGAAAGGCGGGGCUUGGAAUACGGGUCCUGCUUGACGGUACCUCCAGAGGAAGCGCCGGCUAACUCCGUGCCAGCAGCCGCGGUAAGACGGAGGGCGCAAGCGUUAAUCGGAAUUACUGGGCGUAAAGCGCACGCAGGCGGUCUGUCAAGUCGGAUGUGAAAUCCCCGGGCUCAACCUGGGAACUGCAUUCGAAACUGGCAGGCUAGAGUCUUGUAGAGGGGGGUAGAAUUCCAGGUGUAGCGGUGAAAUGCGUAGAGAUCUGGAGGAAUACCGGUGGCGAAGGCGGCCCCCUGGACAAAGACUGACGCUCAGGUGCGAAAGCGUGGGGAGCAAACAGGAUUAGAUACCCUAGUAGUC
rnacentral:rRNA from 1 species